AGAUCUCGGCGCGCCCCUGAGGAGUUUCUGUGGGAAGAUUUUCUGUUUUCCAGGUUUCCCAAGGGAAACGAAGAAAGGGAGGAGGAUAAUCAAUGACUGAACCUCUAAUAGAUGUUGGACGACGUUAAAAAAAAAAUGUAUCGGCCCUACCCUCGAGGAUUUGACAAAUUAGACUGACCAGAGUAAUAAGAGAUACAGGCAGAAGAGGAGACAUAGACACACACAGAGGAGAAGAUGAUGUGAAAAGGGAGGCAGAGAUCACAGUGGUGUGGCUACAAGCCAAGAAAUACCGAAGCCAUCAGAAGUUGGAAGAGGUACUGACAUUGGGAUUAAUCAAGGAAACAACUUGACGCACAGAGAAUGAAGAAAAGCAAGACAGGACAACAACCCACCUGGGAGCAACAGGGAGCCAGGGGAUCCUCCCCCACUGAGGGAAGCAGUAAGUG
rnacentral:lncRNA from 1 species